rnacentral:rRNA from 1 species
UGGGGAAUAUUGGACAAUGGGCGAAAGCCUGAUCCAGCAAUGCCGCGUGAGUGAAGAAGGCCUUAGGUUGUAAAGCUCUUUUACCCGGGAUGAUAAUGACAGUACCGGGAGAAUAAGCUCCGGCUAACUCCGUGCC